rnacentral:rRNA from 1 species
AGGACGAACGCUGGCGGCGUGCUUAACACAUGCAAGUCGAGCGGUAAGGCCCUUUCGGGGGUACACGAGCGGCGAACGGGUGAGUAACACGUGAGUAAUCUGCCCUCCACUUGGGGAUAAGCUUCGGAAACGGGGUCUAAUACCUGAUACGACAACUUCCUGCAUGGGAUGGUUGUGGAAAGUUUUUCGGUUGGGGGAGUGUGCUCGCGGCCUAUCAGCUUGUUGGUGGGGUAAGUGGCCGUACCAAGGCGUUCGGCGGGUAGCCGGCCGUCGAGAGGGUGACCGGCCGACACUGGGACUGAGAACACGGCCCACGACUCCUACGGGAGGCAGCAGUGGGGAAGUAUUGGACAAUGGGCGGAAGCUGAGUCCAGCAACGACCGCCGUGAGGGACUGACGGCCUUCGGUUGUAAACCUCUUCAGGUACCGACGAAGCGCCGUUCGUGGUGGUGACGGUAGGUAC